CACAAGCGGUGGAGUAUGUGGUUUAAUUUCGAUGUAACGCGAAGAACCUUACCUGGUCUUGACAUCCCGGAGACCCUUAGGAAACUAGGGGUGCUUCCAUCUGGAAGAAUCUGGAGACAGGUGCUGCAUGGCUGUCGUCAGCUCGUGUCGUGAGAUGUUGGGUUAAGUCCCGCAACGAGCGCAACCCUUGCCUUUAGUUGCCAGCAGUUCGGCUGGGCACUCUAAAGGGACUGCCGGUGUUAAACCGGAGGAAGGUGGGGAUGACGUCAAGUCCUCAUGGCCUUUAUGACCAGGGCUACACACGUACUACAAUGGCCGAUACAAAGGGCAGCGACACUGCGAGGUGAAGCCAAUCCCGUAAAAUCGGUCUCAGUCCGGAUUGGAGUCUGCAACUCGACUCCAUGAAGUCGGAAUCGCUAGUAAUCGUGAAUCAGAAUGUCACGGUGAAUACGUUCCCGGGCCUU
rnacentral:rRNA from 1 species